rnacentral:rRNA from 1 species
CAGUCGCCACGGUAACACCGAGGGUGCGAGCGUUAAUCGGAUUUACUGGGCGUAAAGCGUGCGUAGGCGGCUUCUUAAGUCGGAUGUGAAAUCCCUGAGCUUAACUUAGGAAUUGCAUUCGAUACUGGGAAGCUAGAGUAUGGGAGAGGAUGGUAGAAUUCCAGGUGUAGCGGUGAAAUGCGUAGAGAUCUGGAGGAAUACCGAUGGCGAAGGCAGCCAUCUGGCCUAAUACUGACGCUGAGGUACGAAAGCAUGGGGAGCAAACAGGAUUAGAUACCCCUGUAGUCCCUGUCUCUUAUAC